CUUUCUACCAGUAGGCUUCAUGCCAGGCGAGGUAUCAUUUUUCCCUCCACGGCCAACCUAAAGGUGUAAUGCUGCCCUAAGCUUUCUAUAAUUUCCUGUAGCAAAUUCUCCAGAGAGGUGGCUGUGUACCUGUGCCUGACACAAGGCACAUGCAUUGCAGGUGAGCCAUAGCACAUAGUGUAAAACUGGAAAUCUGGGAGAUAUAUGUAUCUGAAGCUAGGUUUGCCUGGGUGAAGCCUUCACAGCCCUUCAGGAGUUUUGGAGUACCUGGGCCUAGCAUGAGGCUGAAGCUAAGAUCAUGUGCCCUACAGAAAAACAGAAGUCUGGCAUUGCUUCCUGUAAGAGCUGAAAGCCUGGAGCUGGAGCCAAAGGAUUAUGUUAGCUUCAUACAAUUACCCAUGCUGAUGUUUGCAUUGGUUUUGAUGAGACUCUUAGUACCUGCAAGUCUGAAGCUGACUCUUACCUCUCUUCUGUCCGAUACCACAACUAAUUUUGGAGUGAGGAAGAGAACAUGCACCAGGUCUGGCACAAAAUAUCAUUAUGGAACCUCUGAUUCCAUUACAGCCGUGGAGAGCAGAACGAAGUCAAGAAGCCUGUGAAGAAGGUGGUUCCCGCAGGCAGCGAGCUGUGCACUGACCGCAGGCUUCUGCAGUGACUACGUCUGGAGGAGUUUCUCCACUUGCUGGAAAGAAAACAUAAGGAGAAUUUUAGUGGGCAAAAUAAAGGCAUCUCUUCUCAUGUGAAUGCUCACCCAUGAGCACAACAGAGCAACACAUGUGAACCACAGAUUUUGUUUCUCUACUUUUCUCGCAGUCAUUCAUACUGUUACCCUUUUCAAUGUAUUGAUCUGCUUUUUCUGUAAACGGUGACCCCUUGUAAAGGGGUAAAUUCAGCUUGGAAGUAAUGUCUAGUAAUGUCUAGUUUCUGAUAUGCCUUUUUUCAAGGCUCACUGAGCUGAGGAAAAGGGUAUUUAAAAAGCAGACUUUGAAUAAUGCUUUAUUCAUUACACUAAAUAGCUUAUUCAUUUACUAAUCUGACCAAUUCUAACUACUGCUCGCUCAUUGUAUUCUCUCUGACUCACGAAGGAAGAAAAUAGAGACAAGUAGACUGUGUUGUCUGUGCCCGGCAAUUACGGUGCACAUCAGUGGUAGCAGGAUGAGUGGAAGUUCAAAUCCCUUUCUGCUGUAUUCUAUUAAUUCAAGAAACUGCUUUGUAUGAAAAUGCACAUAGGGCAGCACUUAGCACACAUAGUUCAGAGCCAGGAAGGUUGAGACAAUCAGCUGUAGAUGUACUCAGUUACUUCCUGCCAUCAUCUUUCCUCCCACGAAAUCCAGACUACUCAUGGAAAUCCUGAGCUAUUGCAGACUUUUUUUCUGGAAAAAUGACAUGUCACCAAGAUCUUUCAAAUUGCAAGAAAAGCUUUUGUUUGUUGUUAACUCUUUCAAGAAUCGCUUUUUACAACAAAAAACAAAUGCUUCAUUUUCCUUCAGAAGAGAAAAUUGUGUGAAGGAGGAAAACUUACAUAAGAAGCAGUGCUAUAAUGUUACUCCAAAAAUGUCAAACACACAUUUGUUCUUCGGAACAAAAAUUGGAAUUUUCUGUUUUAUUCUCCUGGUAAACCACUAGAUACAGUAUUUUAAUUAGAAGUAACUUUUGAUGACUGAGACAGAAACUGGACCAUGAAAAAGGGGUUCUUCCAGGAGAGAUGUUCAAAGUCCAUUAAGACCACCAUGAAAAUCUCUGUGGCCAUUUCAGUGACUUGCUUUGUUACCAAAUCUGCUCACUUCUUAAACUAGCUAGCCAAUUCAAUCCUUGCUUCAUUUUAGAAUGGGAAAAUAUUUAUUUAACAAGAAAACUGAGGAAUAGUACUUAUUUUUUAAAAGUCUACAAACACCAGUACAUAUGAAAGUGUAUGACUACUGAUGAACAAAGCUUUUGUGCCAAAGAAAACAAGGAACAGGGAAAACAAGAAAACAAGGCUUUAAGGUAGUGUUCCUGCUUUGUCAUGUAGAUCUUGUGCUGCAAAUUUGGAAUUACAAAAUUGAGGUGAUUGUAGAAUUUGUAUAAGUACCUGUUUUUCUUUCCCAUUUUCUUCAGUGACUUUAAACAGACCAAAACCCAAUCAAUUUUUCUGAAUAAUUCAAAAAUUUCAGUGGUGAUGGUGGUCUUAAGUCUCAAGGUAAUAACAUGAGGUUUUUGAGGCAAAGUUAUUCAAAUGGAAUUCAGGUGCUAACUCAGGACUUUAAAAUUUUCUGUUAAAAUAUAUACAAAGCAAUGAAAUUCAAUAUUUCUAAUGUAUCAGAAUAAUCUGCUUAUGCUGUUCUGUGCUGUUUUUGCUGUUUUGUGAAUCUCACUGUGGCUGGUAAAGAAUUUUGUUCAUUGCAGGUGAUCUGCAGUUCAAGGUUCUUCCUUAAGGAAUAAUUCUAAGAAGAUAUUAAUAAAAUUGGAAGAAAUUACCAAGGGCUUGGAAACAAGAUACUCACACCGAAAGGCACUCAGUAUGUUCUUACUUAUAGUAAACAACUUCUCAGGACUCUGGAAGUGACAUAAAGCCUUCAAAGACUCAACAAACCUGGAAAUAAACUAGCAGGAUUAGAAAAACAAAACAGCAGUUUCCAAUUUGGAGGUGAAUGUGCAAAUGAAUUGUAAGGAUUGUUUUCUCUUCUGACUGGUUUUCAACAGUGUUUUUAAAAUGAGCAGAAUGUUCAGCUGAAGCUCAGAAAGAGGGGAACACUUGUAAAGCAAAGGAAAGCAUGGUAACCCAUGGUAAAUACAUAGUAUGGCGGCAGAAUGGAAACAGCUCUGCUGGGAGAUCUGCUUAUUGCUCAGCUAAUUACUCUGUUCAUGAGAAAGCAGAGUGAUAUGCUCGGCGGAAGAUGAAAAAAAGAAGAAAAAGUAAAACUUCAAAAACCUGGGAACCACACCCAUCACCUGAAGCUUAGACCACACACCUGAAAGGGAGGAACCUACAUCCAGUCCCAGCACAGAGUAUGAACAUCCUUAUCUUCCUUUCAACUCCACCAUUUUGCAGUUAUUUUAUGUACUUACAGAGAGUGUUGGUAAGGGAGGAAUUGCUUUUUCAUUUCUUGCUUCUUCAAUAGUUAAAAUAACUUGUGAUAUCAGAAACUUUGAUGAGCUGCAGUGCUGCUCCUGCAUUACUGUCCCAAGUUCAGUCCAGUCCCAGCCCCAAAUGUGUCUCCUUUCUCUGUGAAGAUCCCACACAGUCAUCUGAACAGCCCUCCCUGCUGUACUGUGGGUGAAGGAGGAGGAAAUGCAUGUGCAGUGGAUGGAGGAGUUUAUUUGUGAUCUGCUGUAUUGUACCAAGAGUCACAUAUAUGUUACAUGCCUUCUCUCCAAGUUAAUCCACAAAUCAAUAACUGAUUGUAUAUAGCACUCCGCUGUCAUCUACACAAGUUAAGAUAUGCCCUGAAACACCUGAUUCUAAGGAGUUACUUGAAAGACAGGAAAAUCCUCAUGAGCCAUAGAAUUGUUCUAAGUAUUAAACCAAUUCAAAGAAAAAAAAAAAGGAAACAAAAGGCCCAAAGCCUUGUGUUGUGGACUCCGUGAUUUUAAACUGCUCCCACUUCUGGCAGACUGAAGGGAAAGAGAAGGCAGCACUGCGGCAAAGCUCAGAGAGAGGGGCUGUCCCACCUGCCUGCAUGGCAUGAGAGCAUCAGUGCUGAUGCACAGCCUCUACUUCUCAGAGCUGAACCUUCUGCAGUUUUGAUCUUGAAUCAGUACAUUUCUCCUUGCAAUUUGUGAAAUCCUUCCGCUGGACAUACAAUAGAACAAGUAUUAUUGCUCCUUGGAGUUUUACCACAUGUUCUACCAUCACCUCUCUAUCUAAAAACGAACCUUAAUCCUGUUCUCUUCUUAAGACAGAUUCACCUCACUGAUGGUAAGGAAUGGACAUGUAUAAUUCUGUGGUCUAACAGAUUUAUGCAACAUAAGCAUGAAGAAAUGAAAAUGAUACAUAAAUACAAAGAAGGGCCAAAAAUUUCUAUGCCUAAAGACAACUUCUCUAUAUUUCCAUACUUAUAAAUCUAUUUUUAGGAAACAACAGCCUGAUUUCACCUUAAAUCAGAGCUCCAAAAAAUCUUUUGGAAAGGAACUCACCAUAAGAAAUUAAGAGUGAAUGACCGAGGAAAAAAAAAAUCUCUGUUUUACAUGGAAAAUAUUUUCUGAAUACUUUCUCAUAUUAAUACGAAAUGGGUUUUUACUUUGUAUUAACUAAUUAAUGAGACAAGCUUCUGAUAUGAACACAACCUUCUUAGCUUGGAAAAUUUUAUUGAUUUUAAGUUCAGAUGACAUAAGAAUGUUUUUCACAAGAGAAAAAGUCAUUAUUUUACACUAAGAAAAUAAUGCAAUAUUUCUCAUAUAAAUAACUGUCCAAGGGUGAUUCUGUGCUCUGAAGCCCCCCCAAGCUGUUUCUAAUAGCUUAACAUGUUUUCUGCAUAGAAGAUUUAUUAAUGGCUAAAUUAUGCCAUGGAAAAAACACCUUGUCAAACAACAAUCCCGUAUUUACCUGCAAAACCCACUAUCCUUACACACAGCAAUUGUAUUUUAUUUUCCUUGUGUUUUUGUUCUUGCAGUGCUUUCAUCGCCCCUGUGGUUCCAUGUACCCUCCAGCGCAAUGCGCAUUAAGCAAUGCGACUGAUAUCUGUCAUGUGUAGUUUAAUUCUUUCUUAAUUAGCCUAACACCUCUAUCAGACUAAAAUCAGUCAUACGGUAUUAUAAUCUACGGCAUGUCUUACUUUGCGUCAUGUUUCUCUUUGUAAGGUGGUUUGUAAAUCGCUUUCCUUUAGCAACUCAGUAAGUCUAUCAUUACUGAAAGAGGAGGAUAAUGACAAAGCUCUGUCCCAGUCUGGCAAAUACUUUAGCUAACCUCAACCAGCAAAAAAGAAAGUGAAUUAGGGAAAAAGGUUGCUUUCACAUUAAUCUUGUCAAGCCAGAAUGAUCAUUCGGUUACACCCUGCUGCAAACAUCUGAUGUCUGAACUUGUCUGAAAUACUUCUUAAAAAUCAUGAGUUGGA
ensembl:lncRNA